CAAAAAAAAAGAUACGGAAAUACAGUAACGUUUCCGAUUUUGGUUCGUUGUUAGGGCUUUUAGUUGUGACGCUAUUUUUAAAGUGAUGACGUCAUAUUCAAAGUCAACGCCAUUCAUCAAGCCACCACUUAGAUUCAAUAGUCUUACAUGAAGAAUUGGUUGGGGAAACCCUAAAACAUGCACCCCAAACCAGGCGGAACACGCUAUAAGCAUGAUUAAGGAACCAAUUGCUAAGAGGGUAAUUCCAGCAGAUCCGGAAAUACCUCUACCAGGGACACAGGAGAACAUUUAAAAUAAACAAAGUUAACGAUAAUCAAAUCUUCACUUUUUGAUAUACAGGCAUUAUUUACUUUUCAUA